CUCGGCCCUCUGCUGCAGUUCGGCCUUCCGCUGCUCGUGAAUCUCCGAUUCUCAGGGAUUUGCAUUGUCGAAUCCCUUUUUAGGGAUUUGCAUUGUUGCAACCCUUUUUAGGGUUGGCAUGCUUUUGUUCCCAGGUAUAUUGUUGGAUAGUUUCCAGUUGCCCUGGCUUGAAACAGUUUGACCAUCAGUUUGGAACAGAUGAUGAGAGCCUGUAAAAUGCAAUUCCUAUUUGUGUAGUCUCAGGUGCUCGGUGGACCACUAAAAAACAGUUGCAGUUGUGAUUUUGGGGUCCUAUUGCUGAUGACAUGUUCCACUAGAAUUGGACUUUCUGACAGCAGUAUAUUUUCAGAUUUUUGUGACUAGUGUAGCUGUACCUAAACUGUCUUGGAGUUUUGUGUAGCGCCUCUAAUGCAUUUCUGCUUUCAUUUCUGUUAUCUAUUUGCUUAUGCUUGAUGGAACUUGUUGUUAGUGUUUUACCUAUUUGAUCUAUUAUGUUGCAGCCUUAGUCUGACUAGUUAAGGAUCUUGGCCUGACUCAGUCAACUAGCAAGUACUAGAGGCUUGGAGAGUUUAAAUAAGUCAUGACCGGAUAUUUGCAGCUCUAUUUACGAGUACAUCUGAACAACCUCAUUUUGCCGUGCAAGUCAUCUAAGUCCAAAACACAUAAGGCUUGCAGCUGAUUGGCCUCCAACAAUGCAAAUAGUUCGCCUUAUAUCUCAGGAUCACAUGAAUAACAAGCAAUAUGUUGGCAAGGCAGAUUUCUUAGUUUUCCGGGCACUAAAUUAGCACGGUUUUCUUGGACAACUACAAGAAAAGAAGCUUGUGAGUCAUGUGGAGUUUCAGCUGUUACUUAGUUUUGUUGAUGUGUUUAUUCGACUGCCUAUAUUGUAUCUGUCUUUCAUCGGCUAGCUUGAUCAUGAGAGUCAUCUGUAUCAUCCCAUUUGUCGACACUUGAUUUAUUAGUUUCAUAUGAGUUAUAAUACUAUACUGUGCUUGUGAUAUACUGAUACCUAUGUCUUUUCCUUCUACAUUUUUUGUCCAAUUGAUACCGUUGCAUCCCCCUCCUGGCGAUACAUCAGCACCCCUCCCGGCGAUACAUCAACACAGAGAACCGUAUUGAUUGACGGCACCAAAGAACAAAUUGGAUCUGCAAAACAAUUGGUCAAUGAAGUCAUCAGUGAGGUAUGUAUGAGAUUCCUAGAUUGGCUUGUAUACUGGACCCCCGUUUUGCCUGAAAAUAGUCAAAGAACAAGUUCACUCCUAAUUGUGUUUACGGAAUAGUAUUUUAUCAUUUUUUACUGGGUUUUUGUCCCGAGUAAAAUGGCUCUAACCUAGCAUCUCAUGAACUGCACACAUGAGAUUCUACACUUUGUUCAAACCAAUCAUUGGCACAGCAAGAUUGUCCAGGGAUGUGAACCUUCCACUUCCUGGGCAUGUCAUACUAAAUCCUGCUGUCAGUACUGUGUACAUGCAAAUGCAUGUCAGUUGCAAUAUCUCCACAAAAAGUAAAGGCAAGGACAUUAGUGACCAUGCCAACCUACGUGGCUAGGUAUGCUUUGUCUAACCUGGCUUCUUCUGCAAUUAUGUGCUCUCCAUAUCUACAUAGGAUAGGUAUAAUCAGUAUUUUUUAUAUUGCUUCUGUACUGGUUUCUUCUGCAAUUAUGUCCUCUUUAGUACUGUUUGCCUUAUAUUUCGAUCUGCCAAACUGUUCCUCAAUUACAAAAUAGGAGCUUGUUCAUAAAAUACUCUUGCAUAUUUGUGAUAUCAUUGAGGCAGGUAAUCAGGAUUUCUGCUGGGACUAUACUUCUUGUUUGCAUUUUAUUUG